ACACAGAACUGCCUGGUCCUGUCCCUGGGGAGUUUCCCUCAUUGCAUGAAAACAAGGAUGAAAUCUCUGCUGCUUUUCCUGUCCCUGUUCUCUGCCCCCUCCUGUGUCCUGUCCCAGGUGCAGCUGGUCCAGACCGGCCCGGGAGCGGUGAAGCCGGGAGCGACCCUCAGUAUCACCUGUAAAGUCUCUGGAGUCUCCGUCAGUGACUACUACUGGAGCUGGAACCGGCAGCCUGCUGGGAAAGGACUGGAGUGGAUGGGGUUUAUCCGGGAUACAGCUAACGGGGGGACCACAGAGUAUAACUCGGCUCUCAAACCUCGUGUCACCAUCACCAGGGACACCUCGAAAAACGAAGUUUAUCUCCAGCUCGGCUCGCUGACAGCUGCAGACACCAGCACCUAUUACUGUGCCAGAUACACAGUGAUGCAGAGCACAGCUGGGACUGGCACAAAAAGAGGAAGCGAAUUUCUAAUCAGCCAACAUGAACAUUCAAUUCAGUCUCCAGGUGUUGAACCUCCAAGUUCCAUGUCUGAGUGA